ACACUUCUUGACAUGUCACCUUUCAUGAGACUACUUCCUCAUUCCUUCAUCGCCCUUGUCUUUAAUCCUUCUACUACGACUAUACCUCAAUUAUCGGUUAUUCCACCUUCCAUGCCAUCCACAUCUAAUACUUCAUAAUUAGUUGAAUGUACGUCCAUAUCCUCAUCCCUACCCCUCAUCUAAUCUCUCAUUCUUCUCAUCUGAUGGUUGCUCGUUCUCAUGACUAUACUCACCAACCAACCUAAACCCUUUCAUGAUCAUAUAUUCUUCAUGCAUCUUCCACUCCUACUUCUAGAAUUUUUUGCAUAAAUAGGUGGUUUGAACCACAAAAGAGUGUUAUUAGGUGGGUAAACAUUUUGUUUUCACAUUUAGGUAGGUUGUGGUUCCAUACAUCGACUUUCAUGAAGCAUUUCUGCCAAAUAUCAGAGUUUCUGCAAAAGCUGCACAAAAUGUUGAAGGUUGCUGUUUGAUACAGCGACCUUCUGAAAGUCGCUGUAUCAACUUGCAAUGUUAUAGAAAGUCGCAGUUUCAUCUUACAACCUUAUUGAAGGUUGCUGUUUCAUACUACAAGCUUAUUGAAGGUUGUUGUUUCAUACUACAAGCUUAUUGAAGCCUAAAAUAAACAAAAAAAAUAGAUUAUCAAAGUUGCAUUACUAAUGUUACUCAACCUUAAUUACAUGAAAAUAACGCGGUCAAUGAUUUCUGCUUUAGAAUUAUGUUAUUUUUCUAAAUGUUCUACUCAUGUUAUUCUACUAAAAUGAUUACAAAAGGAUAAUACUGAUCAAUGACUAUGUUCGUUGAUCCUAUACUCAUUGUUGGGGAGAUAUGAUCCUUUUAUCGUCAUUGUUAAAAACAUAUUUUUACACCUCACGACCCGACCCGACCCCCACUAUACACGAGUCAGUAGUCACAAUCAUCAUGUAGAUAUAAAAUAUAAAAUAUAAAAUUCUAACUCUAAUUCCUAAAUUUGUGAUUAAGCCUUAAAACGGUUUGUUAGUUGUAGCUAGACCUGGCAAAACAAGCCUUAAAUAAACGGUUUCUUCUUCCAAAAUCUCAUUCGUAUUUAUAUUCAUAAUCUAUUUUUUGUUUAUUUAAGGCUUCAUAUUUUAUUAAUUUUGCAAAUCCAUGUAAAUUAAUAAAGUUGUUCCAUAUUCUAUUUUUAAAUUAGUUAUAUAAUUAUAUUUGGUAAGGUUGCUGUUUCAAACAGCGACCUUUGGUAAGAUUGCUGUUUCAAACAGCGACCUUUGGUAAGGUUGCUGUUUCAAACAACGAUCUUAUGAAGGUUGUAAGAUGAAACUGCGAGUUUCUAUAACAUUGCAAGUUCAAACAGCGACUUUCAGAAGGUCGCUGUAUCAAUCUGCAACCUUCAACAUCUUUGGCAGCUUUUGCAGAACUUGCCAGAUUUUGCAGAAAAAUUCAUUGAAGGUCGCUGUAUCAACUUACAACUUACCUAAAAGUGUAAACAAUAUGCAUGAGCACCUAAUAACACUCUUUUCUUGUUCAAACCAUCUAUUAUUGCAAAAAAUUCCUACUUCUAAGCUUAUAUAUUUCAUGCUAGCGUAGAAUAAUGGUUAGUAAGGUAGAUGAUAUGUGUACGAAGUUGCUUUACGUUCUAACCAGGGGCGGAACCAGUGUUAUGUGAGCAGUAGCACGAGUUAUGGCUGAAGUCCAUAUGCGUAGUGUAAUUUUUUUUUAUUUUUUUCGGUUUUAUAUAAAGAAUACCCUAAAAUAAUACAAGGAUACCCCUAACCAACCCAAAGUUAUAAAAUAAGGGAGCUGAUUGUAACAAUGACCCAAUUGAUUAGAUAAGCCCAACUGAUUAUAUUAGCCUAAAAAACACAAAUUACGUAUGGCGGCAUUCUUUCUGAUCGUCGCCCAGGUUCGGUUCUGGAAGAAAACCAAACGUCGCUGGUCAUCCUUUACGCAUCGGUCUCCUGUUUUGCUGCUGCCAAUAACAUUGGUUCGAUAAAAAAAAUCCACAAUUCUGCAGUUUGCUGCGACGAUAACAAUGGUUCCGUCCGUUCCGGCCCUACCCUGUAGUUUUGCUGCUGAAAUCGGAAGGAAAUCACUGACUUGGUAAGUGGUAACUUAUAUGAUUACACCGUAAUUUUUUUGGAUACCCCUGAUUUAAUGAGCUAGUUCCGCCCCUGGUUCUAACCAAACCUAAGAAUAGGUGUCAGCGUAUUCGGCAAGAUGAUGUCAACAAUACCUUUAUUCAUGGGAUUUAUAAUGUGUUUUUGGCACAACAUCUUGGCUUUGUUGGCCCAACUCACUUGAAUCAUGUGUUCUUUUUGUAGAAGGCUCUUUAAGACCUUAUGUGUACAUCUAAAUCUUGGUUUCCAAGCUCUCUACACGAAUAAAACUUUAUUACAUUUGGUUUUA